rnacentral:rRNA from 1 species
AGUGAACGCUGGCGGUAGGCCUAACACAUGCAAGUCGAACGGCAGCACAGUAAGAGCUUGCUCUUACGGGUGGCGAGUGGCGGACGGGUGAGGAAUACAUCGGAAUCUACUUUUUCGUGGGGGAUAACGUAGGGAAACUUACGCUAAUACUGCAUACGACCUACGGGUGAAAGCAGGGGAUCUUCGGACUUUGCGCGAUUGAAUGAGCCGAUGUCGGAUUAGCUAGUUGGCGGGGUAAAGGCCCACCAAGGCGACGAUCCGUAGCUGGUCUGAGAGGAUGAUCAGCCACACUGGAACUGAGACACGGUCCAGACUCCUACGGGAGGCAGCAGUGGGGAAUAUUGGACAAUGGGCGCAAGCCUGAUCCAGCCAUACCGCGUGGGUGAAGAAGGCCUUCGGGUUGUAAAGCCCUUUUGUUGGGAAAGAAAAGCAGCAGGUUAAUACCCCGCUGUUCUGACGGUACCCAAAGAAUAAGCACCGGCUAACUUCGUG